GCCUUCGUGGUGUAGUGGUCAACACAUUCGGCGCGUAUUCGAGUGGUCCGGGGUUCUAAUCCCGGAGAGGGCA
rnacentral:tRNA from 1 species